AGUGAACGCUGGCGGUAGGCCUAACACAUGCAAGUCGAACGGCAGCACAGUAAGAGCUUGCUCUUACGGGUGGCGAGUGGCGGACGGGUGAGGAGUACAUCGGAAUCUACUUUUUCGUGGGGGAUAACGUAGGGAAACUUACGCUAAUACCGCAUACGACCUACGGGUGACAGCAGGGGAUCUUCGGACCUUGCGCGAUUGAAUGAGCCGAUGUCGGAUUAGCUAGUUGGCGGGGUAAAGGCCCACCAAGGCGACGAUCCGUAGCUGGUCUGAGAGGAUGAUCAGCCACACUGGAACUGAGACACGGUCCAGACUCCUACGGGAGGCAGCAGUGGGGAAUAUUGGACAAUGGGCGCAAGCCUGAUCCAGCCAUACCGCGUGGGUGAAGAAGGCCUUCGGGUUGUAAAGCCCUUUUGUUGGGAAAGAAAAGCAGCAGGUUAAUACCCCGCUGUUCUGACGGUACCCAAAGAAUAAGCACCGGCUAACUUCGUG
rnacentral:rRNA from 1 species